CUGAAGGGCGCGUUCGGGUCAAUUGCGGCAUGCAACACCCGAUCUCCCUCCACCAGCCUCCCGGUAUGGAGGUUGUGGAGGGGGAGCGCGUGACCAUCAG
rfam:Halobacterium sp. DL1, complete genome.